rnacentral:sRNA from 1 species
CAGUACUAUUGUUCACCACAGGAGGGCGCCGGAUCAUACAGCUGCCCUGAAGAGGGGACAAGCCUGCUCAUGUGCACAGUAAUGAAGCGUUCUUCAGCAAUUCUGUCUCCGUAUAAAUUCAUGGACAUUUGAAGAGCUGACCCAAAGCCAAAACAGGGGAACAUUUCACAUCUUAAGGACCCAUGGAAGUAUCCUAAGAACAAAGGCACAGUUGCUUCUUUUGUAUCCAUGGUAGUAAGAAAGCCAAGUUCCCAAAGCACAGCACAAUGCUUCUCGUGUUGAAGAGGCUGUCGCUUGAUUCUACUUAAGAGUGCCAGUCUGUAUUUCAGCAAUCUGGAAAGCUUUGAAAGCCUGGAUCUCCCUGGAUCUCCCUCGCAAAACUAACCAACUUUUGUAGCAGAAUGGACUACUCUAAGGAAGUGUCUUCCGAAGUAGAUGUACUUUCCUAACAACUGCCUAUGAAAAGCUACAUCAAUGGCCUUUGAGCGCUGGGCAUGGAGGAAGCACUGUGUUAUAAGCUGACUUGUGGGGGUGACAGUCCCAAAUAGGCAACUAUGUCUUCAUGGACCUUUUGGUGGUGUAUGCAUUUAUCAGCUUUUUAGCUUCCACUUGGUUAUCUUUAUGUGAUACGUCCUGUGGUUUUAUUUCCAUAUCAACUCGUCCAUUUCAGAAAAUAGCUUCCUUACUUCAGCCAUUUUUUCUCUCAGUCUUUCCAAAUAUAAACUCAGAUGCUUUCCCACAAUGGCUAAAGUUGUUUACUGUUAUAUUUUUAUAUUCAGAGAGGUAAUAAUAAUUGAUUCUUAAAAUGUAUUCAUUGUUACAGAGAUAAACCGAAUAAAAUGUUCAAUUAAUGGUAUUUCAUGAAUCCUUAUUUGCAGUCAUUACUUAAUACGUUAUGUGUGAUUUGUUAAACUCAAUGACUAGUCAUGGAUUAUGGAUCCAUAUGGAGAAGACCCAGACAUGACUGACACAGUGAAGCCUAUUCUACAAAGUAAUUGGCCCGAUGCUCACAGGAAGUUAAACAUCCUUUCUAGUCUUGGGAAAGGCUUUACAAAGACUGUGCAUAAAAUUAUUUAAGAAGUAUUGUCUGUCUCAAUCCCUGGAAAGACACCAUGUUAUCAACACAGAAUUGAGGCAAUGAGUGAACAAAAGUGGCAAAGUUAGCUGAGGAACAAUUCAAAAGAAUGGACAUCAUAAAGCUUAAUCCAAUUUGUCUUCACAUUUUGACGAAAGACUGCCUUACAUUUAUGUGUCACACAGUAGGAAGCAUUGCAUCAUAUAGUAUGACUAAAGAAAUUAUGAAGCAAUGAUUAUCCAUCUCUAUUACAUAUUUAUUACAUAAACUCACAUAAUGUAAUCAGUCUUUGAAGAAUCCAAAAUAUAUAGGUAAUAGUUUUUGUAUCCUGGGACAGUGGGUUAAGAGCCAGGGCAUCCAUGUUAGAAGAGUUAACCAAAAAGAAACUCAAAAUGGUUUGCAUAAUCAGGAAAAGUUUAGAUGAAUGAUGUGUUAACCAUGGUGAGGACCACUCAGAGCGGAGAUGUUGUGAAGACUCCAGGAUCUGGGUCAAAAGAGAUGAAGAGCUAACAGAAUAAAAGACUAAAUUCACCACAUGGAUGAAACACAUCGAAUGUGGCAUCCAACAGAAAACAGAUAUGAUUACAUGCGUAACUACUUCCUGCAUGCACAAUAAUCAGAAAAAGAGGAAUGGGUAACAAAGAAUAGUUUUUUAUUUCAUAUAUAUACCUAUAUAAUCAUAUCAUAAAAUCAGUUCUUACAUGGGAUUUGACUCUUUAAAAUCAUAUGUAAUUACAUUGUUAAUUAAGCACAAAAUUUUCUCUGAGACUUUAUUUUAGUUUAAAAAAUGUUUGUUAUCUCACAUGGUAAGUUAACUUUUCCACUGUCACUGGAUAUAAGCACUCCAUUGUUUGUUUUAGUUUUACUUUUAAAUUUUCUUCAAGGGAACCAUACAUUAAAAUUUCAUCAGCUGGCAGCAAUAAUUGCAUGCAGUUUGCUUUGCAUUCUUCACAAUGCCCUUAGCAGUAGAUUCUAUUAUAAAACUUCUUGUAAACAGUGAAGAGACUAAAUCACAGAGAUGUUUGUCAUCAUGAGCAGGAUUGCAGGAGUUUAGAGCUUUAGUUUCUAACUUGGGAAUGGGAAAAAAGAAAUAUUUUUGCCAUAUUACAGAAUAAAAUGUUUAGUUUUCCUCAGUAAUAGUUCUAUAGCAUUGUGUCUGAUUAUAUAAUUAUGGAUUUAGAAAUAGAUUUUAAUUGAAAUUUGGGUGCAAGCUAUUAAGUUAUUCUAACAUUCAAUAGAACCUAUAAUAAUCUAUUGCUAACAUAAACAAAAGAGACUACAUCCCACUGCUAAAGAUAUACUGAAUUAUUUUAAGAAACCAUGUGUUUUAUACUUAGCAAUGAAUGAGAUUUUCUUCUAAAAUGAACUUAGUGCAUAUUACAAUUCAUAACUCUACUGGGAUAUGUUUGAAAAUGUAUCUUUUCCAGUAUUACUAGGUAUGGGAGAUUUUAAAUUACCCAACAGAGCAAGAACAUGCUCUUUAGAGAAGCAAAUGUUUGCCAGUAUAUUGAACUUUACCCUGUUGUUCAAAAGAAUCAAUUCAUAUUAAUGUUGAAGAAACUUUUC